UGUGCGCACCUUAGCGUGCGCUGACUCUGCAUCUGCAAUUCUCGCCUUUCUUACUGUCCGCAUGAGUGGACUGAGCACUUUCACGUAAGAAAGCCCCAAAAUCCCAAGCAGCUGAAGUCUUUGGCCCUGUUAGCCUUAUCAUGGGACCCAGAUCCACAAGGCCAGGAUAUUUUGCACAGGAUGAUGGUGCCAGCUGCACAAAAAAUGCAACAACUCUAGGACAAGUUGACGAUGAUCACCUGGUGGUCCAAGUCUGUCACAAGAAGAAAGAUAUUUUGGAAACGUGCCCCUGGCCAAUGGGAACUACUGUACUUUAGUCCACAAAUCAAUAAAAUCCUGCUGCUUUUUGUUCUGAGCAGCUUGGCCCCUCUCUCAACCAAUUGUCAUCUCCCUUCAGUUGAAGAUCCUUUCCCUUUCACCCCAAUAAAGCUUUGCUUGUGCAGGGGUA